rnacentral:rRNA from 1 species
UCCACUCACACCUGUGCACCCUCUGGGGGGGGGCGUGGUCUGGGGGACAUGCCCUCUUCCUCGUGUAGCUCUAGGUCUUUACACAUACACCGUACAAAGUCUUAUGGAAUGUGGACCGCGUUUAACGCAAUACAAUACAACUUUCACCAACGGAUCUCUUGGCUCUCGCAUCGAUGAAAAACGCACCGAAAUGCGAUAGGUAAUGUGAAUUGCAGAAUUCAGUGAAUCAUCGAAUCUUUGAACGCACCUUGCGCCCCUUGGCUAUUCCGAGGGGCAUGCCUGUUUGAGUAUCAUGAACACCUCUCCUCUCAUGGUUCGCCGUGAUGAGCUUGGGCUUGUGGAGGUUUUGCUGGCCUUUGUUCAGCUCCUCUCAAACGGAUCAGCUUGCCAAUGUUUGGUGGCGUCAUGGGUGUGAUAAAUAUCUACACUUGUGGCCGUCUGCCAGGUAACCUUCACCGAGGAAGGUUCUCUGGAGCUCACAAAGGUCUGCCGCAGCGAAAACAGCUUUUUGAACGUUCUAUCUCAAAUCACGUAGGACUACCCGCU